AAAAAAAAAAAAAAAAAACUAUUACAAUUCUUUUGAAUGUUAGUUGAAGAAACACCUGCAAAAACCCAAAAGGCAGAGCAUCAUAAGAAAAGCGGAAAACACUACCCUAUCUUGGUGCACAGAAAUAUCCAUGCAUUAUUUUACAACAUGAUGGCGAACCUGGUGUCUAUAGAGCCAAACGUCGAAAAAGAAUUCAUAUAGCUGACCUCAACUAGUAUGGAUUAAGGCUUAGUUGUUGUUG
rnacentral:misc_RNA from 1 species